GGGAACUCCAUUUCGCCUUGAUGAUCAGAGGGGUUGCUAUAAGGCUUUUUACGCGCAGCUGUAUUUCGGAAAGUUGUAGUUUCAACGAUUUAAUUGAAGAUAUCCUGGCAAAUACUUUAUGUAAAGCGAAGUCAAACUCUAAAGUAAAAGUGAAAGUGAGACAGAUUUUUUGUUUGAGGAAUCUUGGAGUGUUAUGAUUCAAACGAACUGAGCUGCUGUUUCUGCAAGGACAGGACGUACUUCUGGACGGUGAUAGCGACUCCGACUGGGAGGCCCCGGUGCCAAGCAGCCCGCUCUACCUGUGCCACCAGUGGUGUUCAUAUGCCACAGUUCAUUACUGCAGGCAUGACUGUGCCUCAGAGCCAAAAGGGCACAGCAUGGAGGCGUCGUUGUGUUCUGUGUCACAUGAAAUGCACCACUUGUUCAGUUUGCCUCUGCUUUACAUCAGAAAGAGACUGCUAUGGGACAUGGCACAGGCAACAAAAUAUUAUGACGAGGACUUCCAAGGGAUCUACUGUGUUAUAUUCUCCUACAUUCAAUUAACAUUUCCACAAACUUCAGAAUGUUUCCAUUCAAAUGAUACCAACAAUAUGCAUACCCUUGCCUCUGGGGCUGAGAUACAGGCAGUUAGAUUUGGGUAUGUCUUCAGGCGGAAAUUGAGAACAAAGGGUUGCAGCCAUAACAGGUUUUACCAUAGUAUGGUUGUUUUCCUUAAAAAGAGCAAGGUUUGUUGUUCAUGCUGGGUUAUUGUGUUAUCACCCAACCGCUCAGAUCAGAAGACUGAGCAGUUGCUUUCAGUUAGUUAUUUUCUGGAAACCCAUGAGAGUAAAUGUUAAUGUGUUGUAUUGUUAUGAACUGUUACUUUUAAAUACUGAUACUUAUGUAGUGUUAAUGAUGCUUUCAUAAGUGCAUGAGAUCUGUAUAUGUAAUGAAUA